rnacentral:rRNA from 1 species
AUGAACGCUGGCGGCGUGCCUAAUACAUGCAAGUCGAGCGAACAGACGAGGAGCUUGCUCCUCUGACGUUAGCGGCGGACGGGUGAGUAACACGUGGAUAACCUACCUAUAAGACUGGGAUAACUUCGGGAAACCGGAGCUAAUACCGGAUAAUAUAUUGAACCGCAUGGUUCAAUAGUGAAAGACGGUUUUGCUGUCACUUAUAGAUGGAUCCGCGCCGCAUUAGCUAGUUGGUAAGGUAACGGCUUACCAAGGCGACGAUGCGUAGCCGACCUGAGAGGGUGAUCGGCCACACUGGAACUCAGACACGGUCCAGACUCCUACGGGAGGCAGCAGUAGGGAAUCUUCCGCAAUGGGCGAAAGCCUGACGGAGCAACGCCGCGUGAGUGAUGAAGGUCUUCGGAUCGUAAAACUCUGUUAUUAGGGAAGAACAAAUGUGUAAGUAACUAUGCACGUCUUGACGGUACCUAAUCAGAAAGCCACGGCUAACUACGUG